AAGUCACAACCAAGAAGAAAGGGUUAAAAACAGAAAAACAGACAUUUUAGUCGCUAUUAAAAGAUAUGAGACUUGAUCUCUCAGACAAUUAGCUAAGAAUUGAGCUCACAACUUAAGACUGAUUCAGUGGGGAAAAAGCUUAUGAAUGAGAAUACGUAGUGUAAAUAUUACAAGUAUGAAAAGCAGAGAUAAAUAUGAAGAACAAGAAUAGUUCAAGGAAAAAGGAAUCAAAGUUUCAUUAAAAUAGCUG
rnacentral:lncRNA from 1 species